CAUUUCUUUCUGUCCGAUUAAGUAAUUUUCCCUUCUUUUUAAUCUUUCUCAAAAGUAUGCCAUUUUUCUCCUAUGCUAAAUUGAUUCGGACUAUUUAGGAUUUAAGAUUUCUUAGUUUUGUGUUUUUCAUGAUUUAGUUCAGUAGUUUAGUAACUAGUUCAAUUGAAUGAUUGGUUAAUUUAGCUGGUCUUGAAUGUUGAAACAGGUUCUUGUUAAAAAAAAGUUUUAUUCAAAUUGCAUUUGUUUGCCUUGUUUUGAUCUUUGUAUACGUUUGAUUUUCUUGUUGAAGCUGUUUGUAAUCAUUAGGAAAGGUUUGUUUGUUUGGGGGUUUUAAGAGUAAAUAAUAGAAAUUAGAGGGGACUAAAGGUUACACCAAAAUUAGGGAAUCGGAGUUGGUUAUGUGGGAAGCUUCUAGAAAGGGUCAAAUUGUAAUAAAGACAAUUGAAAUUAGGUCAGAUUUGGGUCAAAUUGGGUUAAUUUCAGGAGGUGGCCGGUGCUGAAAAUUAGCGAAAAAGGACAAUUGUUUGCAAAUAGGACAGCUGACCAUUUUCUGUUAAAAAAUAGAUGCCAAUUUCCUGAUUUUUAUCUGACAGGAUUCCCAUAUAUUCCCUCUCUUUCUUCUCUAAUAAGGGCACCCAUUGAAUUAUAUAAGGGACCUCAUACUCCCUCACAGUGGACACGUUAUUUUUUCUGCAUAUCCACUCACAAAAACACACUAGAUUUUACACUGUUACUCUGAUCCUCACUGAGUUCUCUGAAUAAAGAAACAAUAUGAAAAAUAGAGAAAAUUCCAAACUUUCCUCUAUUCUGUCUUCUUGCUUCAUCUCUUUGGAGUUUUACAAGUUUGAUUGACCUUCAAGACCUGGGUUUUACUGCUGAAGACUCUUGGUGAGCUUCCAGUUUGAAUCAGAUUCUGUUCUUAUUUGGAUAUCUUAGUGUUUUCUUGUUUAACUAGAUUUAGCAAUAGAUCUAUUAUAGUUUUCUGUAUAUGUGAUGAGUAAUUUUGUGCCAAUUUGAGGAUAUAGAAGGCUGUUGUUGCUGAUCACAUGGCUAUAGUUUGCGGAUUUGGCCACUAGUUCGCCAAAUGAGCAAAAUUCUAAGCCUAAGAAUGGGAUUCUGUCGCUGGCAGUGUGCUGAAGGUUAACUACUUCAUGUUGUGGAUUAAGGUUUAUGUGGAUAUAUUAUAUCCGAAUUGUAAAGUAUUCAUUAGUUUAGCAAUUUCAUGGAGAAUUGUAAUAGAAGUGAUUGAUGUUUUAAAGUUCGGAUUCUGAUUCUUGUAUAAAAAAUUAGUCGUAAUUCUUGAAUAUCAGAUAAGCAUGUCUUCCUAUUUAAA